AGAUUGAACGCUGGCGGCAGGCCUAACACAUGCAAGUCGAGCGGCAGCACGGGUACUUGUACCUGGUGGCGAGCGGCGGACGGGUGAGUAAUGCCUAGGAAUCUGCCUGGUAGUGGGGGAUAACGCUCGGAAACGGACGCUAAUACCGCAUACGUCCUACGGGAGAAAGCAGGGGACCUUCGGGCCUUGCGCUAUCAGAUGAGCCUAGGUCGGAUUAGCUAGUUGGUGAGGUAAUGGCUCACCAAGGCGACGAUCCGUAACUGGUCUGAGAGGAUGAUCAGUCACACUGGAACUGAGACACGGUCCAGACUCCUACGGGAGGCAGCAGUGGGGAAUAUUGGACAAUGGGCGAAAGGCCUGAUCCAGCCAUGCCGCGUGUGUGAAGAAGGUCUUCGGAUUGUAAAGCACUUUAAGUGGAGGAAGGCAGUUACCUAAUACGUAUCUGUUUUGACGUUACGACAGAAUAAGCACCGGCUAACUCUGUG
rnacentral:rRNA from 1 species